rnacentral:rRNA from 1 species
GAUGAACGCUGGCGGCGUGCUUAACACAUGCAAGUCGAGCGGAAGGACGAGAAGCUUGUGUCUCUGAUGUUAGCGGCGGACGGGUGAGUAACACGUGGAUAACCUACCUGUCUGUGUGGGAUAACUUCGGGAAACCGGAGCUAACACCGGAUAAUAUUUUGCACCGCAUGGUUCAAAAGUGAAAGACGGUCUUGCUGUCACUUAUAGAUGGAUCCGCGCUGCAUUAGCUGGUUGGUAAGGUAACGGCCUACCAAGGCAAGCAUGCAUAGACGACGUGAGCGGCGGGUCGGCCGCCCUAGAACUGAGACGCGGUCCUGUCUCCUACGGUACGGACCAGAGGGGUAUGUGACGCAGUGGGCGGGAGCCUGGCGGAACAGCGCCACGUGAGGUACAGAAGUCCUGCGAUCGGGAUACUCUGUUACUAGUGGAAAACAGAUGUGUAAGGAACUGUGCAGAUAUUGACGGUACCGAAUCAGAAAGCCCCGGCUAACUACGUG